rnacentral:rRNA from 1 species
GAUGAACGCUGGCGGCGUGCCUAAUACAUGCAAGUCGAGCGAACGGACGAGAAGCUUGCUUCUCUGAUGUUAGCGGCGGACGGGUGAGUAACACGUGGAUAACCUACCUAUAAGACUGGGAUAACUUCGGGAAACCGGAGCUAAUACCGGAUAAUAUUUUGAACCGCAUCGUUCAAAAGUGAAAGACGGUCUUGCUGUCACUUAUAGAUGGAUCCGCGCUGCAUUAGCUAGUUGGUAAGGUAACGGCUUACCAAGGCAACGAUGCAUAGCCGACCUGAGAGGGUGAUCGGCCACACUGGAACUGAGACACGGUCCAGACUCCUACGGGAGGCAGCAGUAGGGAAUCUUCCGCAAUGGGCGAAAGCCUGACGGAGCAACGCCGCGUGAGUGAUGAAGGUCUUCGGAUCGUAAAACUCUGUUAUUAGGGAAGAACAUAUGUGUAAGUAACUGUGCACAUCUUGACGGUACCUAAUCAGAAAGCCACGGCUAACUACGUG